rnacentral:rRNA from 1 species
GUGCCUUCGGGAGCUCUGAGACAGGUGCUGCAUGGCUGUCGUCAGCUCGUGUUGUGAAAUGUUGGGUUAAGUCCCGCAACGAGCGCAACCCUUAUCCUUGUUUGCCAGCGAGUAAUGUCGGGAACUCCAGGGAGACUGCCGGUGAUAAACCGGAGGAAGGUGGGGACGACGUCAAGUCAUCAUGGCCCUUACGAGUAGGGCUACACACGUGCUACAAUGGCGCAUACAGAGGGCAGCAAGCUAGCGAUAGUGAGCGAAUCCCAAAAAGUGCGUCGUAGUCCGGAUUGGAGUCUGCAACUCGACUCCAUGAAGUCGGAAUCGCUAGUAAUCGUAGAUCAGAAUGCUACGGUGAAUACGUUCCCGGGCCUUGUACACACCGCCCGUCACACCAUGGGAGUGGGCUGCAAAAGAAGUGGGUAGUUUAACCUUUCGGGGAGGACGCUCACCACUUUGUGGUUCAUGACUGGGGUGAAGUCGUAACAAGGUAGCCCUAGGGGAACCUGGGGCUGGAUCACCUCCUUA